GGCUUGAUCUUGAAGGUGGAUUUGAGCGGAUCUUCAAGGAGCCAUUGGGGCUUGAUCUUGAGGAUGAGCGUUUCUUCAAGAGCUGUUGAGGCUUGAUCUUGAAUAACGAUGAUGAACGGAUCUUCAAGGGCUUUUGGGCUUAAUCUUGAAGAAUAGUGAUGAACGGAUCUUCAAGGGCUUUUGGGCUUGAUCUUAAAGAUGGAUGAUUGUUGAUCCAAGGGCCGUCGGGGCUUGAUCUUGGGAUGAACAGUUGUGUGGAUUUAUUAAUGUUGCUGAUCCAA
rnacentral:lncRNA from 1 species